rnacentral:rRNA from 1 species
UACGUAGGGGGCAAGCGUUGUCCGGAAUUAUUGGGCGUAAAGCGCGUGUAGGCGGUCCGGUAAGUCGGUUGUGAAAGGCCAGGGCUCAACCCUGGGAUGCCGAUCGAUACUGCCGGACUAGAGUCCGGAAGAGGCGAGUGGAAUUCCCGGUGUAGCGGUGAAAUGCGCAGAUAUCGGGAGGAACACCAAUGGCGAAGGCAGCUCGCUGGGACGGUACUGACGCUGAUGCGCGAAAGCGUGGGUAGCAAACAGG